ACACGGACACAACAUUGACUCUGGGGAGGUAGUUCUCGCCUCAAUUCGCUCAUGCAAAGGGCCUGGAACCCACCGGAGGGGCGUGGCGAACAUUCCCCCGGAAGCUCUGGGGUAGGGGGAUGAUGGAAACGAGGCUGGAAGGAAAAUGUUGGGGAGCUUGGUGGAGUCUGGGUUUAGGGCUAGCCCAGGAGGGAACGAGCCUGAACUUCAGGGGUGAGGUGGGCUGUUAGGACCUUCUGGGGUGGAGAAAUGAUUUCGCAGAAGCCCUCUAGACUAAAUAAAACUCAGGAAAUAUCUGCUUUCCCUGAGGUAACCAGACAGAAUAGGAGAGUAAACAGGAUGGGGAUCGGGGAAAGAGAGGAAUAGAUUUUUAGGAUUUCUAAGAAUGAAUUUAUCAUUUCCAUUUGUGAAUUGCAGUUUCUUUCAGGGACAUCGAGCGAGGCAGGUGUUCCACCCCACUUUCUUGUUUGAGGGGAGAAGGAAACCAAAGCCAGUAGAAAUGGAAUUUAUGGCCUCCGUGCUCUCAGAGGGUGGAAAAAAAUUCUCACUCAUCAGCCUAAAGAGAAACCCUGUCUUAUCCCAGAUUACCACCAUGGGAUUUAAAAUUCAGGAUAUGAAGUGGCCUUGUUGAUGGAUUGGAUGACUGCUCGAGGCAGGAGGUCUGGCUUUCCCUCCAUGAACUAGGAGCGGCCUCAGGAAUCACAUGAACAUGUUAGAUGUGCACUUUUCGAGGCCAUGGCUGGAUCUUAGAUUCAUUCUGUGACUUUACCUGAGGCUCAGUCCUGACAGCCAAUGGACUCCAUCAAUGAUUGAUUAAAGCAUAAUGUUCCAUGACUAUCAAGACAGCAGCUCGAGAGCAUCUGUAGCAAAUGAAAACAACUGUUUUUGGCAGAAAUUGUCCUGUAUCCAAAUGGACAAAGCUGAAUAACUGUAUGUGGAUGAUUAUAUCAGUUCUGCUGUGUGGAGCCAGGAGCCACCGAAUUGUGGAGGUUCAUGUGGAUGGAAUGCGCACCUGACGUACUAACUUGAUCCUGACAUUCCAAUAUAAUCCCCUAUUCUCUAAAGGGAAAAACUAGUGUAUUUGUUAGAGACGUAAUGGAACUGUAGAGAGUACAUUCAAUCAGCUACGUAAACUGUGAAACAAAUGUCAGGUUUUCCUGGGUUCUGCCAUUGUGGUCUGUAAAAGAAGAAGUCUGAAUGGCAGGGACUGCAAUGGAAAGGAUGCACACGUAUUAGACAAAAAACUCUUAGGAGGGGAAAACUAUGAAAUGGUUCUUAGUACUGGUAGGUGGGGAUUUGGAACAGGGCCAUGUGUGUUCAUGCGUGUCCAUAUGUGUCUAUUUCAAAGAUGGCACGAUGGAAUAUAAAAUAAGGAUUGUGUGUGUCUUGUCAUGGAGACAACCACUGUGGAGAGACAAGCAGAACCAUCCAGUGGGUGACCCUGGGUUCCUGGGGAUGAGCGGGUUGGGUCCACUGUCUUCCUGUCCCCCAGCACGGGGUGCUGCAUGGCAGUUCAACCUACCACAGGGUCCCCUGCUGCAAUGGCCCUGGGCAGCUAGUGUUUCCAGCUGAGAUACAACUUCUCUGAGCAGUUGCUGUUCCAGCUUAGACUGUUUCUGCCCCACUUUCAGGGUUGAUGUCAUGAGCCCAAUGCAAGGGGGCGCUGCAGAGGGGAGCACGACAUUGACUAUUACCAUCAUCUCCUAACUGGCUUGCCGGCUGUGUAUUUAAAGAUGUUUUUGUGUGUGCGUUGAAGACAGACUGGAAGGC
rnacentral:lncRNA from 1 species